rnacentral:ncRNA from 1 species
AGGAAGAACAUCCUUCCGCGCUGGUGAACGAUGCCUGGGCAGGGCGAAGCCAGAAGAAACUCUGGUGGAGGUCCGUAGCAGUCCUGACGUGCAAAUCGGUCAUCUGGCCUGGCUAUAGGGGCGAAAGACUAAUCAAACCAUCUAGUAGCUGGUUCCCUCCAAAGUUUCCCUCAGGAUAGCUGGCACUCGUCCGUCUCCGCAGUUUCAUCUGGUAAAGCGAAUGAUUAGGUCUUGGGGCCGAAACAAUCUCAAACUUCAAAUGGGUAAGAAGCCCGGCUCGCUGGCGUGGAGCUGGGCAUGGAAUGUGAGUGCCUAGUGGGCCACUUUUGGGAAGCAGAACUGGCGCCGCGGGAUGAACCGAACACCAGGUUAAGGCGCGCGAUGCCAACGCUCAUUGUUGUCUUUCAUUCUCUGAAAGGCAGCAAGAUGUAAAAGGUUCUGUAGCGGGACAUUCACAUUCUGUAGCUGAACCU